rnacentral:tRNA from 1 species
GGUGGCUUAGUGGUAGAGCACUUGCCUUGCAUGCAUGAGGCCCUGGGUUCGAUUCCCCAGUACCA